ACGAACGCUGGCGGCAGGCCUAACACAUGCAAGUCGAGCGCGCCCUUCGGGGUGAGCGGCGGACGGGUGAGUCACGCGUGGGAACGUGCCCUUCUCUGCGGAAUAGCCUCGGGAAACUGAGAGUAAUACCGCAUACGCCCUUUGGGGGAAAGAUUUAUCGGAGAAGGAUCGGCCCGCGUUGGAUUAGGUAGUUGGUGGGGUAAUGGCCCACCAAGCCGACGAUCCAUAGCUGGUUUGAGAGGAUGAUCAGCCACACUGGGACUGAGACACGGCCCAGACUCCUACGGGAGGCAGCAGUGGGGAAUCUUAGACAAUGGGGGCAACCCUGAUCUAGCCAUGCCGCGUGAGUGAUGAAGGCCUUAGGGUUGUAAAGCUCUUUCAGCUGGGAAGAUAAUGACGGUACCAGCAGAAGAAGCCCCGGCUAACUCCGUG
rnacentral:rRNA from 1 species